rnacentral:sRNA from 1 species
AAUCUUAGAUUGCAUAUACAAAAAAAGUUACAAGUUGAACACAAACUGCAUAAAUUAGGAACAAAGCUCGAGAGUGAUUCGAAAAAUCAAACCCAAAAGUAAUACGGAUAAUCAAGCCGCUACUCAUUCGGAACCACGAAAUUACAAACAAAACUUUGAACAUAACUUAAAAUAACCACCGAAGUUUAAGAAAAAAUGCUACCACCAAACAAAAUAAUGUGAAAACCACACUCGCAGUCAACAGAAAGCGCGGAAAGAACAGUAGAUGCAGAACUACAAAAGCUCACAAGCAGUCUUCGAGGCAAAUGUAAAUCGCGAAAAAGGACCCCAAAUACGACGAAUAACAAGAAGAAAAAAUCACAUAUAAGAAUCAAAAAUUGUAGCCAUGUAAUCUUCAUCCUAAAGA